rnacentral:tRNA from 1 species
UUGUUACUUUGGCAGAUUAGUGCGUUAAAUUUAGAAUUUAGAUAUGUAUAUAUUAUACAGGUAAUAC